rnacentral:rRNA from 1 species
GAGAGUCAAAAAGACCGCAAAACCGUUAGGAGGGAAACGAAUGCAGCUGAAGCGGCACCUCGCCGGGCUCAGGGAGUCGGCGCGGGGUCCUGGCGGGUCGCGGAAGCCCUUUGGCUCCGCUGGCGUCGUCGGGGGCCUCGCGUCGGCCCUGCACUUCCGCGAGGAGCCGGCCAACGGCGGUUGCCUUCGGCUCGGCGGGCGUCUGGGGAGGUGGCUCCGCGCUUGCGUGGAGACCGUACAGCCCGGGCGCGCGGCAGUUCGGGGGCGACCGAGGAGAGCGUUUGCGGUCCUUCGCACGCUGCGGCGCGGGCCGACUUAGGUCGGCUGCGUCCCCGCGUCGGGGCGGCUCCCGCUUGGGCGUACUGCUUGCAGUGCCCCGAGACGGCCGAGCUUUCCCGGUCGCGGUGGCACGACAACUCGCGCCGAGGUCGUUGGCGUCCGAAUGGCUGCAUCCGACCCGU